CGCCUAACACAUGCAAGUCGAACGAAGUAGCAAUACUUAGUGGCAGACGGGUGAGUAACAUGUGGGUAUCUACCCUUUGGCCUGGAAUAACACGAGGAAACUUGUGCUAAUACCGGAUAAGUCUUUACGGAGAAAGCUUUAUGCACCAUUGGAUGAGCCUGCACUUGAUUAGUUUGUUGGUAGGGUAAUGGCCUACCAAGACUGUGAUCAAUAGCUGAUUUGAGAGGAUGAUCAGCCACAUUGGGACUGAGACACGGCCCAAACUCCUACGGGAGGCAGCAGUGGGGAAUCUUGCACAAUGGAGGAAACUCUGAUGCAGCGAUGCCGCGUGAGUGAAGAAGGCCUUUGGGUUGUAAAGCUCUUUCGUCGGGGAAGAAAAUGACUGUACCCGAAUAAGAAGGUCCGGCUAACUUCGUGCCAGCAGCCGCGGUAAUACGAAGGGACCUAGCGUAGUUCGGAAUUACUGGGCUUAAAGAGUUCGUAGGUGGUUGAAAAAGUUGGUGGUGAAAUCCCAGAGCUUAACUCUGGAACUGCCAUCAAAACUUUUCAGCUAGAGUUUGAUAGAGGAAAGCAGAAUUUCUAGUGUAGAGGUGAAAUUCGUAGAUAUUAGAAAGAAUACCAAUUGCGAAGGCAGCUUUCUGGAUCAUUACUGACACUGAGGAACGAAAGCAUGGGUAGCGAAGAGGAUUAGAUACCCUCGUAGUCCAUGCCGUAAACGAUGUGUGUUAGACGUUGGAAAUUUAUUUUCAGUGUCGCAGCGAAAGCGAUAAACACACCGCCUGGGGAGUACGAC
rnacentral:rRNA from 1 species